UCCGAACAAAAAAUUUUGAAAAAUGGACACGUGUCAAACUAUCAUUUGUUCCAAUCUCAACAGUUUUUUUAGAAAAAAACUAAAACGAAACCAGCAGGCAGCACCGCAGCUGUCUUCCAUCUUUUUUCUCUAUCCUCCAUUUCCGCCCCCUUAUCCACCUUAAAAUCGCCAUUGUUAGUCAAUACUCAACCACACUCAUUUCUGCUCUCGUCCAUCAACUAUGGCGGCAAGCUUACUCAAGUUUUCACCUUUUUUUUCCUCCACAACUACCAUUUCUCACCACCGCUACAUUCGCCGAUCUCACUCUCCAAUUUUCUUUCCUCUUCGUCAUACACCUUUAUUUCGUCUGCGUCGAAACCCUAAUUUAAUCGCUGCAAAGGCUGUAGACAUCAACUUACCUAUCUCAAAUUCAAUUUCGUCGCUUGAAUCUCGCAUUCCAAUAGAAACCUCAUUUCUCCUUGACGUCGGCGGGAUGAUGUGCGGCGGUUGCGCAACUCGCGUGAAGAAAAUCAUAUCGUCUGAUGAUCGAGUGGAGUCUGCGGUUGUGAAUAUGGUGACGGAAACUGCUGCAGUUAGAUUGAAAUCCGAGGUACUGGAAGGUGCUUUAAUAGCGGAAGAAUUGGCGAAGCGGUUGAACGAUUGUGGAUUUGAAGCGAAGAAGAGAGUCUCUGAUAGUGGUGUAGGAGAAAGAGUGAAGAAAUGGAAGGAAACGAUAGCAAAAAAGAAGGAAUUGACUGAGAAGAGUAAAAACAGAGUGAUUUUUGCUUGGACUUUAGUUGCUCUUUGUUGUGGCUCUCAUGGUUCUCAUAUUUUUCAUUCCCUUGGAAUUCAUGUCGCACAUGGAGGUAUUUGGGAUGUGCUGCACAAUUCAUAUUUCAAAGGGGCUUUAGCUCUGGGAGCUUUGCUGGGACCAGGACGAGAAUUGUUGUAUGAUGGUCUCAGAGCGUUUUCCAAAGGUUCUCCCAAUAUGAAUUCUCUCGUAGGAUUUGGUUCUGUUGCCGCAUUCAUCUUGAGUGCAGUUUCACUUAUUAGCCCAGAACUUGAGUGGAACGCUUCAUUCUUUGAUGAACCGGUCAUGCUUCUUGGGUUCGUGCUUCUUGGUCGCUCUCUGGAGGAGAGAGCGAGGAUAAAAGCCUCUAGUGAUAUGAAUGAACUCUUAUCAUUAGUAUCUACUCAAGCUCGACUUGUCAUUACUUCAUCAGAGAGUGAUUCUUCUACUAGCGAAGUGCUUGCUUCUGAUUCCAUUUGCAUGGAUGUCCCUACUGAUGACAUUCGAGCUGGUGAUACUGUGUUGGUUUUACCUGGAGAAACUAUUUCUGUGGAUGGACAGGUGCUUGCUGGAAGAAGCGUUGUAGAUGAAUCCAUGCUUACUGGAGAAUCUCUACCUGUAUUUAAGGAAGCAGGGCUUUUAGUUUCUGCUGGCACAAUAAACUGGGAUGGUCCAAUAAGGAUAGAGGCUACCUCCACAGGCUCGAAUUCUACAAUUUCUAAAAUCAUUCACAUGGUUGAAGAUGCCCAAAGUAAUGAAGCGCCUAUACAAAGGCUUGCAGAUUCAAUUGCUGGCCCAUUUGUUUACAGUGUUAUGACUUUAUCUCUGGCAACGUUUGCCUUUUGGUCAUCAAUCGGAGCCAAACUCUUCCCUGAUGUUUUGCUUAAUGACAUGGCUGGUCCUGAGGGUAGUCCUCUAAUCUUAAGUUUGAAGCUGGCUGUGGAUGUGCUGGUUGUCUCCUGCCCCUGUGCUUUGGGACUUGCUACGCCCACAGCAAUCCUAGUUGGCACUUCUAUUGGAGCAAGACAAGGACUUCUUUUGAGGGGAGGAGACGUACUGGAACGCCUGGCUAGCAUAGACUAUAUGGCUUUUGACAAGACAGGAACCCUCACAGAAGGAAAACCUACUGUUUCAUAUGUGGCUUCUUUGGCUUAUGAUAGUUCAGAGAUUCUCCGGCUUGCUGCUGCUGUGGAGAAAACAACAUCGCAUCCCCUUGCAAAUGCAAUUUUGAGUAAAGCAGAGUCAUGCGGAUUGGAUAUUCCUUCCACAAGUGGGCAACUAACGGAACCAGGUUUUGGAACUUUAGCUGAAGUAGAUGGACGUUUGGUUGCAGUAGGUUCUUUGGAAUGGGUUUGUAAACGUUUUGAAAGGAAAAAUCAAUCAGAUAUAACAUAUUUGGAUCAUGCCUUGAUGUUUGAAUCAACUAAAUCAACAUCAUCAUUGGAUAAAUCAGAAACUGUGGUUUAUGUUGGACGAGAAGGAGAGGGUGUGAUUGGUGCUAUAGCAAUCUCUGACUCCUUGAGGCAUGAUGCGGUGGCCACUGUAACAAGGCUCAAAGAAAUAGGAAUCAAACCCGUCCUCUUAUCCGGUGACAGGGAAGAAGCAGUUGCAAAAGUCGCAAACAUCAUUGGAAUAAACGAUGAUCUGGUACAGCCAUCCUUGAAUCCACAGCAGAAAUCUCAAUUUAUAUCAAAUAUACAAGCUUCAGGACAUCACAUUGCCAUGGUUGGUGAUGGAAUUAAUGACGCACCUUCUUUAGCACUCGCCGAUGUUGGGAUUGCUUUGAAAACUGGAAUGCAAGAUAAUGCUGCAUCAGAUGCUGCUUCCAUUGUACUUCUUGGGAAUAGGCUUUCACAGGUCGUUGAAGCUGUUGAUCUUGCACGUGCAACUAUGAGUAAAGUACACCAAAAUUUGUUGUGGGCGGUUGCAUAUAAUGUUGUUACAAUUCCAAUAGCUGCUGGUGUGCUACUUCCUCAUUUUGAUUUUGCGAUGACACCUUCUCUAUCAGGUGGGCUCAUGGCUAUGAGUUCUAUAUUUGUGGUUACGAAUUCUCUUCUACUGCAGCUCCAUAAUUCCAACGAAGAGAAGAAAGAGCUUGCCCCAGGAGCAUCAGAAGUGGUCUGAAAUUUUAGGUUAGCUUUGCCUGUUUCGUUGUAGAUUUAAUACCUUUUGAGGGUGUUAGACAUGAGGGAUUUGGGGGAGGGAAUGGGAGUUAAAAUAAAAGUCCAAGUCUUUGUUUGUUUAGUGGGAAUGGAAAUAUACUUCAGGAAAAAUUAUCUACAAUAACCCAACAUUUUUAGGAUUUUCCUACAAUAAUCUCAACUUUUGAUAAGCAUGAAUAAUUCCAAAAAUAAGGUUAACUUUUUAAACUAAUAAAAAAAAAAAAGAAAACAAACACCCACCCUCCCCUCCUAAUGGCCACCACCACUACCCCACCUCGACGGUCACCAACCCCUCGCCAAACAACCACCUCGCAGAACAUAGUGCAACCUCUUCACCACCCUCACGGAGUUGUCAAAAACCCACGAGUCUUCGGGACUGGAUACCCUUGCCACCCCAUCUUCAAGAACUCCACCGCACCAAGGAUCUGCGUUUUGACAUGCUACCGACAUCAGAAGAGCAGUUAGAUUACAAUGAUUCUUGUAAUCUAUGUCAACAUACAUCGUCUAUGUCUAUACUAAUGUGUUAUGAAAUGUACAUUCAUUAUGGAAAUCCAGUUGUAUGUAAAGUUGGUCUUCAUCAUGAUCUAAGUCGAGAAAAUAUAGCAUGUCCUCAUUGCAAAGUUGAUGGUAACCACAUGAUUUGUCUGAUAACAUUUUGGCUUCAAUAUGGUAAAUGUCUAGUACAUUAAUUUUUUUUAAACUGUGAUGGAAAAUGUCUAAUACAUUAAUUUUGGCUUCAAUAUGGUAAAUGUCUAAUACAUUAAUUGAAUGUUUUAAGGUAGUUUGGUAUGUGGAUUCAAUUUGGGUCUUGGAUUCAAUUUGGGUCUUGGAUUCAAUUUAAUAUAUAUAUGCUAGUGUUUUAAGGUAGUUUGGUAUGUGGAUUCAAUUUGGGUCUUGGAUUCAAUAUGGUAAAUGUCUAAUACAUUAAUUGAAUGUUUAGUGAUGAAAACGAUGCUAUAUUAGAGUUCGAACAAUGUGUUUCAAACUCCAAUAUUGCCAAGAUCGAAUGUAUGAGGUUUUGUGACAAACAAAUUAAGCUAUCAAUGAUAUCGAUGUUUACAGGAGAAAGUAAUGCAAUAAAACGACAUAAAAAUUUAACGAGGUUCACCCAAUUUAGGCUACGUCCUCCGGUGUGUAGUAUCUCUUAUAUUAUUAAAGGAGUUUAAAGAACUCUUAAAUAUGGAGAAUUACAACAGAGAAGAGAUAUAUGCUAGUGUUUGGCUUGCGGUGUAUUUUGUGGAUGAUUACAAUGUGUGAAUGAUAGCUCUCUAUUUAUAGGAGAGAUCUCACUAAGUAACAUUAAGUACAUUAAAACUAUGGAUAAAUGAUAAUGAAACAUCCCCAAGAACUUGAAGAGUCAAAAACAACAUCUUAGAAGUAUCAGAGACUUCGCUCGACCAAAACAGGGGCUUGCUUGGUCGAGCAGUUUGGUCGAACGGACUACAGGAAGUUUCUGGUUGCAUUUUGUAUGCUCGCUCGACCUAUUCUGAGCUCGCUCGGUCGUGCGAGCUGGUCGAGCUGCACUUCAGAAGGCUUCUGAUAGUAUUGCUCGACUUGCAUAGUAGAGCAUCUUAAAUUAAACCUUUGCAGUUCAUUAAGUCCCAUAACUCCCAUGAAUAACUCAUACUUCAUUACCUCAUUAAUCCAUACUCUUAAUCACCAUUAUAAACCACAAUCAUUAAGACUCAACUUAAUACACCUACAUUAACAUACUCAUUGGAUUCCAAACUCAAGAAUCACACAUGAAUGCACACACCAAAUGUGCACUCAAGUCACACCAUUCAUAACAAGUGAAGGGGAGCACCUGCUCAGGCGUCAUUGUGAUUGAACAAUCACGGUUUUGAGUCUUGGAAGCAGCUUCUUGCAGAAAUAUAGGGUAAGAUAUUGCCUCUAAUAUUCCCUAUAGCGAAACCCUUUUCUGGACUCUCGUCUCGCGGGGCCGCUUGGUGCACGGCUGUUUAUUGCUUUAUUGUUGCCUUGUGAGAAUGAGUGAAGCAUGAAGACUAGGACAAGAGACAUGUUGAGCUAGUAUGAGAAUGACCAUUAUAAAUCAAAACAUGCAGAUUGUCAGGUUUCUUUCUGUAGCAUCAUUUAGGCGGAGCCCCUCCACAAA